GUGGCUUUUCUCCUCCUUCCCAAUAUGUUUGAUGCCCUAAAAGAGGCAUUUUUGGCUUAUAUAUUGCGUACAAAAGACGUGGGCCAAAGUUCUCCUAUUCCUAAUCCGACUCGGCUAGAGGGAUUGAUGCUGGGGUGGAUGCGUCGCAUCCACCUCGUCCUCCACUUCUCAACUUUGCAUGCUAGUGUGGAUGCGUCGCAUCCACCCUUUGUUCCUCCUUCUCAGCUUUGCCCAGGUGCGGAUGCUAUGGGCCGACUUCACUACUAAGGGUGCACGGAAUUUGCUUUUUUUUUUUCUAGAUUGGAUGCGACGCAUCCAAUUCUUCUUCCUCUACCUAGAGCACCUUUUCUUCAUAUUUUUGCACUCCAAACACCCUAAUUCAUCACACACAACUCAAUUAGUCAUAAAACCAAUAAUUAAACCAUGUUGGGCAUUUUAAGGAUCAAAUAGCAUUAAAAACGGUUAAAACAUGGGUAAAGUAACAUCAACACAUAUCAAAAUAUGUCCAACAUCACCACCCCACACUUAAACCUUUGUUCGUCCUCGAACAAACCAUCACGAUAGUAGACGAAACAAAAUUAAGCUCUUUUCAUUCAAAGCAUACUACACCUAUGACCAUGGUCAUUUGCCACAAUUAGGCUCUAGAAUAUGCAUCAUAUGCACUUCCCUUUACUUGUGUCAUUCUUUUAAAAAUAUUCAAACAAAGACAACAUGCUCACAACAAUCCUAACCUCAAAAACCGACUCAAUGUCACAAUGCACUCAUGUCUUGAACACCCAACAACACAGAGAAGUCUAAUAACGUUACCUAUCCGUCGUGAAACCAUGUGCCCUCACAACAAGAACAAGAGAGCGAGUUCAAUCCACACAUUCGAAUCUCAUGAUGAAAUAUAUUUUAAUGACUCACAUAUAUCAAAGAAAAUCGCUCACUCUCACAGAGAAGUCACAUGCAUGCAAUUGGUACCAUAGGCUUGCCCUUAAUAUAGAUCUCCACUAAUGUAAGCUCGCUCGAUCUAAAAUAAAUUAAGACUUUUUUAUGGUUGUAAUAUGGGCUAAGGGAAGGGUAGGAUAUAUUUUAGAACCUUGGCGAGCCUGGGUGGAGCGGCCGUCGGUGCAGAUCUUAGUGGUACUAGCAAAUAUUCAAAUGAGGGGAAAGGUUUCAUGUGAACGGCACUUGCACAUGGGUUAGUCGAUCAUAAGGGUCGGGGAACCCCGACAGAUAUAGCAUUUUGCGCGUACUCCGAAAGGGAAUCAGGUUAAAAUUCCUGAACCGGGACGUGGUGGUUGACGUCAACAUUAGGAAGUCCAGAGACGUCGGCGGGGGCCUCGGGAAGAGUUAUAUUUUCUGUUUAACAGCCUGCCCACCCUAGAAACGACUUAGUCGGAGGUAGGGUCCAGCGGCUGGAAGAGCACCGCACGUCGCGUGGUGUCCGGUGCGCCCCCGGCAGCCCUUGAAAACCCGAAGGACCGAGUGCCUUCCACGCCCGGUCGUACUCAUAACGGCAUCAGGUCUCCUAGGUGAACAACCUCUGGUAGAUGGAACAAUGUAGGCGACGGAAGUCGGUAAAAUAGAUCCGUAACUUCGGGAAAAUGAUUGGUUCUAAGGGCUGGGCAUGUGGGUCCCAGUCCCGAACCCAUCGGUUGUCGGUGGACUGCUCGAGCUGCUCCUACGGUGAGAGCGGGUCGUCGCGUGCCGACCAGGAGACGGACUGGGAACGGUUCCUUCGGGGGUUUUCCCCGGGCGUCAAACAGCCAACUCAGAACUGGUACGGACAAGGGGAAUCUGACUGUUUAAUUAAAACAAAGCAUUGCGAUGGUCCCUGCAUAUGUUUACGCAAUGUGAUUUCUACCUAGUGCUCUGAAUGUCAAAGUGAAGAAAUUCAACCAAGCAUGGGUAAACGGUGGGAGUAACUAUGACUCUCUUAAGGUAGCCAAAUGCCUCGUCAUCUAAUUAGUGAAGUGCAUGAAUGGAUUAACGAGAUUUCCACUGUCCAUGUCUACUAUCCAGCAAAACCACAGCCAAGGGAACGGGCUUGGCAGAAUCAGCGGGGAAAGAAGACCCUAUUGAACUUGACUCUAGUCCGACUUUGUGAAAUGACUUGAUAGGUGUAGUAUAAGUGGGAGCCGAAAGGAGAAAGUGAAAUACCACUACUUUUAACGUUAUUUUACUUAUUCUGUGAAUCGGAAACGGGGCAUUGCCCCUCUUUUUGGACCCAAGGCUUGCUUGCAGGCCGAUCCGGGCAGAAGACAUUGUCAGGUGGGAAGUUUGGCUGGGGCGGCACAUCUGUUAAAAGAUAACGAAGGUGUCCUAAGAUGAGCUCAACGAGAACAAAAAUCUCGUGUGGAACAGAAGGGUAAACGCUGGUUUGAUUCUAAUUUCCAGUACAAAUACGAACCGUGAUAGCAUGGCCUAACGAUCCUUUAGACCUUCGGAAUUCGAAGCUAGAGGUGUCAGAAAAGUUACCACAGGGAUAACUGGCUUGUGGCAGCCAAGCGUUCAUAGCGACGUUGCUUUUUUGAUCCUUCGAUGUCAUCUCUUCCUAUCAUUAUGAAGCAGAAUUCACCAAGUGUUGGAUUGUUCACCCACCAAUAGGGAACGUGAGAUGGGUUUAGACCGUCGUGAGACAAGUUAGUUUUACCCUAUUGAUGACAGUGUCGCAAUAGUAAUUCAACCUAAUACGAGAGGAACCAUUAAUUCGUACAAUUAUCAUCGCGCUUGGUUGAAAAGCCAGUGGCACAAACCUACCGUGCGCUGGAUAAUGACUGAAUGCCUCUAAGUCAGAAUCCGGGCUAGAAGCGACGCAUGCGCCCGCCAUCCGCUUGUCGGCCCGUAGUAGGGGCCUUUGGCCCCCAAGGGCACGUGUCGUUAGCUAAGUCAUCGUGGCAGAAGAGCCGCGGUGGCCGCCUUGAAGUACAAUUUCCAUCGAACGAUGGGUAGAAUCCUUUGCAGAUGACUUAAAUACGCGAUGGGGUAUUGUAAGUGGCAGAAUGGCCUUGCUGCCACGAUC
rnacentral:rRNA from 1 species